rnacentral:piRNA from 1 species
AUGCUUUGGGGUGUUGCAUUAC